ACCUCUCAGACAUGCAAUGCACAUGGCCCACAGGGCUCUCAUAGAUGCCCUAGGGGAUUCAUUGAGGUCGUCGCCACAGGACAGAGGAAAGAGAGCACGCUGACAUUCUCAAUGCCACCCCCACCUCAGCUCCUGCCCGUCCAUCUGCAACUGCUGCUUAUUUCUGAAGACUCAGUCUCCUAACACCAUCAAUGUUUGGCCUUGGAGCGUCAUCUGGCUCUGGUUUUCCCUGCUUCUUCCCACGUUUCUCAUGACAGAGUCCUUUUGCUGGAGCUUCUUAAAUGUUCAUUGGAAACUAACAACUGUUAAAACUUUCAAGACUAAGGUGAUGAAGUUAAGUGGGUUGUGGGGAAUUGCAGGCUGGUAUCCAGUCGAGCUGAGGUCUGAACCCCGAUGGUCAUAAUUCACCUCCAUGACACGGACAGGAACAUAAAAUGGUGGCUCGUGUCAUCAGGCAUCAACAGUGGCAGCAUAGCCCAGAGUUGGAAGAUGUGCUCUAGAAUUACUCUGCUGAGCAGCCCAGUGUCUGGAUGUGAAGAAGUGGAAAUUUUGUUCUUCUAAGUCACUACAAUUUGAAAGUUUUUGUUUCUUCAGUACACAUGAUUAUCAGAAGAGCUGGCAUUGGAACCAUCCUUACUCCAGCAUCUGCACUUGUCCACUUCCCUACAAUUUGUCCAUCUUCGAUUAGCUAAACCAAAAAGGUUUAAAGCAGACCUCUGUUCAGAGCAACUAUGAGUCAUGAAACGCUGGGUUGUGACCUCUGGCAUGUGUCUGGAGUCCACUACUUCCUCUGAAAGCCGCACAUUGAGAGUCUCCAGCUACACCGGUGGGUGCUCUGGUCCCUGCAGAGACAUCUAAGGACAAAGAACUCUACCAGGAUGGUUUCUGAGAAGGGAUAUUUCAAAAAUCCAAUGUGGGGAACUAGAAGGUUUUGUCAGAAUCUCUUCCCUGGUUUCCAAACUGAAGCUCACUUUCCUUCAGGCUAUCUGAGGUAGGGUAGACCAUCCACGACAGCAUCCUCGGGAAAUGCACAUUCCUGUCUGACCUUUGGAGCACAGCUACAGUUUCAGAAUGCUUGGUGAGAAAUCGGUUUUCCUUGAAUAUACAUGUAGUAAAUUGUCAGUGAGUUACAAACUC
rnacentral:lncRNA from 1 species